GAUGAACGCUGGCGGCGUGCCUAAUACAUGCAAGUCGAGCGAACAGACGAGGAGCUUGCUCCUCUGACGUUAGCGGCGGACGGGUGAGUAACACGUGGAUAACCUACCUAUAAGACUGGGAUAACUUCGGGAAACCGGAGCUAAUACCGGAUAAUAUAUUGAACCGCAUGGUUCAAUAGUGAAAGACGGUUUUGCUGUCACUUAUAGAUGGAUCCGCGCCGCAUUAGCUAGUUGGUAAGGUAACGGCUUACCAAGGCAACGAUGCGUAGCCGACCUGAGAGGGUGAUCGGCCACACUGGAACUGAGACACGGUCCAGACUCCUACGGGAGGCAGCAGUAGGGAAUCUUCCGCAAUGGGCGAAAGCUUGACGGAGCAACGCCGCGUGAGUGAUGAAGGUCUUCGGAUCGUAAAACUCUGUUAUUAGGGAAGAACUAAUGUGUAAGUAACUAUGCACGUCUUGACGGUACCUAAUCAGAAAGCCACGGCUAACUACGUG
rnacentral:rRNA from 1 species